GAUGAACGCUGGCGGCGUGCCUAAUGCAUGCAAGUCGAGCGAACGGACGAGAAGCUUGCUUCUCUGAUGUUAGCGGCGGACGGGUGAGUAACACGUGGAUAACCUACCUAUAAGACUGGGAUAACUUCGGGAAACCGGAGCUAAUACCGGAUAAUAUUUUGAACCGCAUGGUUCAAAAGUGAAAGACGGUCUUGCUGUCACUUAUAGAUGGAUCCGCGCUGCAUUAGCUAGUUGGUAAGGUAACGGCUUACCAAGGCAACGAUGCAUAGCCGACCUGAGAGGGUGAUCGGCCACACUGGAACUGAGACACGGUCCAGACUCCGACGGGAGGCAGCAGUAGGGAAUCUUCCGCAAUGGGCGAAAGCCUGACGGAGCAACGCCGCGUGAGUGAUGAAGGUCUUCGGAUCGUAAAACUCUGUUAUUAGGGAAGAACAUAUGUGUAAGUAACUGUGCACAUCUUGACGGUACCUAAUCAGAAAGCCACGGCUAACUACGUG
rnacentral:rRNA from 1 species